CUGGUGUAAAUCAGCACAGCUCCAUUAAAAUGGCAUUCAUAUGCUGCUAAAGACACAUACCAUGGGCAGGAUUCAUCAUUGCCUCAGACUCCCUUAUGCCUGUCAUCAACAGCUUUUGGACCUAGCAAUGCUGAUCCCACAUCACAGACCUUGAGCCCUGGAGCUGAAGGGUUUACCUAAAUCGUUGAAAUAUGUCUUACCAACAUCAGCAGCAGUGUAAGCAAACCUGCCUGCCACCACCAGUGUGUCCUCCACCCCAGUGCCAGGAGCCAUGUCCUCCACCCAAGUGCCAGGAGCCGUGUCCUCCACCCCAGUGCCAGGAGCCGUGUCCUCCACCCAAGUGCCAGGAGCCAUGCCCUCCACCCAAGUGCCAGGAGCCGUGUCCUCCACCCCAGUGCCAGGAGCCGUGUCGUCCACCCAAAUGCCAGGAGCCGUGUCCUCCACCCCAGUGCCAGGAGCUAUGUCCUCCACCCAAGUGCCAGGAGCCGUGUCCUCCUCCCAAGUGCCAGGAGCCAUGCAGGCCACCAAAAUGCCCUUCACCUAAGUGCCCGCCUACGCAGAAGUACAACUGAAAUGAUAUGAGCAUCCACCGGAGCGUGAACAGCCACGAAAUGUCAAGCAAACUUACAUGUUCCUGUUUGUAACUUAUUCCAUAAUUAUUGGUAUUUACACCCUUCAGAG